rnacentral:misc_RNA from 1 species
CCAAAAGGAGCGUUGCUUUAACCUUCAAAUCCCACAUUUCUCUCUCCUCCUCUCUAUAAAACCCAACGCGCCUCCUGCCUCUUCUUAACCCAACCGUCAUCGCCUUCUCUUUCCUCUUUCUUUAUUCAAAAUCUGAAACAGCUUGAACAAGGAUGGCUCCAAGAGCCGGAUCGAAUAGCAGCUCCAAACCCAACUCCGCUACCAAGGAGAUCCGUUACAGAGGCGUUAGGA